UACACUUGUGUGUGUUUGUGUGCGUAUGUGUUUGUAUCUGUGCGUUAUUUUUUUUUUUUUUUUGGUUAAUACCUUACAUCUAGUAUGUGCUUAAUAAAAAAUGUUCAUUAUAUUUCAAAAUUUGUAACUAUAUGACACUUAAAAUAUAUUUAUUAUUUCAGGUUGUCCAGAAAGUGGAUUUUGCUUUUACGGCUUUCAUUUUGGGAAAUCUUGAGGUGUCUUGGAUUUCUAAUCCUCCAGUCAGUGAUACCUUUGGGUGUUGAAAACUGAAUCUCUGGUGGGGAUAAAAAGGCAUCUGUCUUUCUGGCCUUGACAAUCAAAUUAAGUAAUUGAUUGACAGAAUGUUGGCACCAGUUUUGGAAGAAUCGAUCAGCCUCAACUCAAGGUAUGGAA